AGACUUCGAUUUUAGCCCAUAAACACCAUUAUCUUGGAGUUUUUUUUUUUUUUUUUUUUUCCCUUCACCAAAAAUUGUAAUUUCUUCUCGUUUUCCCAUUUUAAUGCAAAAAAGGUUCAGCACGGCUACCAGUCGUAUUGCAAGAUCGCCCAUUUCCGGCAACUAUCAUCGGGAGCUCCCACAUUCUUUGAACUUGCAAUGCAGAUUCCUUAAAUCCUUUUCUUCAUCGGUUUUUAAAAAAUUGCAAUCCAACAUUUUUUUUUGUACGUGUAUGUGAAUGUCUGUAAUUAUUUCAUGUAAUUACGAGGAUAAUUCUGCGAGUUAUUGGAAAAUUUGGAAAAAUUUAACUUUAGUUUUCGGGUGUUUGAGGAAUGUUAAUUUUGAUGAGCAUAUGUUGAAGUUUUUUGGGAGUGUGUUUGGCUAAGCUUAAAACUGAAUCAAAAUUACUUUGAGUAAAUUUUGUUUCCAAAAGUUUUUUAUUUCUGUUACUCUUUCUUACUUAGAAGUAAAGAAAAAGCAAUUAUUUUGAUAGUAUAGCAGGGCUUAAUUUCAAGUUUAGUAACUUAUUUUCAAACAUAUUAGCUUGCUCAAAAGUAGUCUUUACUUACUUUCCCAAGAAGUACUUUUACUUUCUUUAGGCUUUGCCAAGAAUGGUAUUUCAAUUUCUUUGUUGUGAUGACGAUAAUAACACUUUAGUAUUAGCCCACGUUUGCCCCUAUUCUCAUUCUC
rnacentral:lncRNA from 1 species